AUCUGGGUAGCUUAAAUGUAGAGCGUAGCACUGAAGCUGCUAAGGUAUUUUUAGGAUUCCUAGAUG
rnacentral:tRNA from 1 species